CCCAAGCAACAGACAUGUCUCCACGGCCCAGAGUUCAAAACACGCGCGUCACAACGGCUCUGCGAAAAUAAUGAAGACAAGAAGCAGAAAAGCAAAGUACAAGGACAGACCAUGACGAUAGCAAAGACUGAAGAGCAUAAUGGAUUGAAGCUGUCAAAUCGUUUUGCAGCCCUUGAUCUGUAGAAGCUUUCUGAUCUUGCCAUCUGUCUUUAUGACCUAGGGUUUUAGCUUCUUGUAUAAAUAAGUAACUCUUGUAACGAUCUUAUCAAAAAGAGAUGAAUGAAGUUCAGUAAAGCUCAAGCUUCCUUCUUUUCAUUUCAAAACCAAAUCUGAAAUCUUUACAUGGUAUCAGAGCUCCAUGGAAGAUAGAUCUAUGGAACCUUAUACCCCUCCUGCUCUUAAACUCACCAACGCUGUUACCGUCAAGCUCACGGAGAAGAAUUACAUUCUUUGGAAGCGGCAGUUUGAAGCUUUUCUCAACGGUCAGAGGUUACUUGGUUUUGUCACCGGAUCUACACCUCAACCAGCUGCAACAAUACCAGCACCCACGAUAAAUGGUACAACCACGCCAGCUCCGAACCCUGACUAUGCGCUUUGGUUUCAAACUGACCAAGCCAUACAGUCUUGGCUUCUGGGCUCUUUUUCCGAGGAUGUUCAAAGUUCCGUGAUUCACUGCACCAACUCAUAUGAGAUCUGGAUGACGCUGGCCAGUCACUUCAACCGUCCAACAUCAGCUAGACUCUUUGAGCUUCAGAGGAAACUUCAAACAACUGCCAAGCAAGAUAAAUCGAUGGAUGACUAUCUUCGUGACAUCAAAACUAUCUGUGACCAACUCACGUCGAUAGGGCAACCUGUAGACGAAAGGAUGAAGAUCUUUGCAGCACUGUUAGGCCUUGGAAAGGAGUAUGAGCCUAUCAAAACGAGUAUCGAAGGUUCUAUGGAUACACAGUAUCACCCUUCCUUUGAAGAUGUCGUGCCACGUCUGGUUGCGUUUGAAGAUAGACUUAAGAGCUACACUACAGACACGGCAGUAUCACCACAUCUCGCCUUCAACACGGUUCGAGGAAGACCCUUCUUCACCAGAAACAGAGGUCGAAACAGAGGAGGACGCAGCUUCUUCUCUACAAGAGGAAGAGGCUUUCCACAGCAUCUCUCAUCUUCAUCCUCCUCAAGGAGCUCUGUGUCAGCUGAUUCAGAAGCUCGUCCAGUUUGUCAAAUUUGCGGAAAGUCAGGUCAUGAGGCCAUGAGGUGCUGGCACAGGUUUGAUAACAGUUAUCAGCUUGAUGAGAUGCACAACGCGCUCGCGGCUAUGAGAGUUUCUGAUAUGAUUGACUCCCGUGGAGGAGAGUGGUUUCCUGAUACAGGAGCGUCAGCACACAUCACCAACACUCCUCAUCAUCUUCAAAAUGCUCAGCCUUACAUGGGUUCAGACUCAGUGAUGGUUGGAAAUGGUGAGUACCUUCCAAUCACUCAUACCGGAGCUGCAAGCAUUGCUUCCUCGUCAGGUAACCUUAUACUGAAUGAUGUUUUAGUUUGCCCUCAAAUAGCUAAACCAUUACUUUCAGUAUCUAAGUUUACAACGGAUUAUCCUUGCGGUUUUGAUUUUGAUGCUGAUAAUGUCUGCAUAUAUGAUAAGGCCACCAAGAAGGUUCUGUUACAGGGAAGAAACACUAAGGGCCUGUAUUCAAUAAAGGAACCAGCCUUUCAUGCCUUCUUCAGUACAAGACAGGUUGCUGCUAGUGAUGAGGUCUGGCAUCAAAGGUUGGGGCAUCCUAAUCCGCAUAUCCUUCAGCGUCUAGCGUCUAUCAAGUCUGUUUUCAUCAAUAAAAGAUCCAAGUCUCUCUGUGUGUCUUGUCAAAUGGCUAAGAGUUCAAGGCUGCCGUUCUCAGCGUCUCAGUUUGUAGCUACACGGCCGCUUGAGAGGAUACACUGCGACGUCUGGGGUCCAUCACCUGUAGUGUCAGUCCAAGAAUUUAAAUACUAUGUUGUUCUUAUUGAUAACUAUUCUCGGUAUUGUUGGAUGUACCCUAUGAAGAAGAAGUCUGAUUUUCAUUCAAUAUUCAUAGCAUUUCAAUCGCUUGUGCAAAAUCAGUUUCACACCACCAUUGGAACUUUUCAAUGUGAUGGUGGUGGGGAAUUCAUAAGCAACCAGUUCCUUCUCCACUUACAAAAGAAUGGAAUUCAACAACUCCUCUCUUGCCCACACACCCCUCAACAGAAUGGUUUGGCAGAGCGUAGACACAGACACAUAGUUGAGCUUGGUCUUUCCCUUCUGUUCCAGAGUAGAGCGCCUCAAAAGUAUUGGGUUGAAGCGUUUAUGACUGCGAACUUCCUCAGCAAUUUGCUCCCUCAUUCUGCGAACACCAACACUGCAAGUCCAUAUGAGAAGCUACAUAACAAAAGUCCGUCAUAUGAUGCUUUGAGGAUCUUUGGCUGUGCCUGCUUCCCGAUGUUGCGACCUUACACUCAAAAUAAACUAGAUCCUCGGUCACUGCAGUGUGUAUUCCUUGGCUACAGUGAGAAAUAUAAAGGAUACCGAUGCUUGCUCCCAGCUACAGGAAGAGUAUACAUCAGCAGGCAUGUUAUCUUUGAUGAAUCAAAGUUUCCCUUUGCUGAUGUGUAUGGUCAUUUACAUCCACCGGCUCUGACGCCACUGAUGGAGGCCUGGCUACAGAGCAACAGGAGUGCUGUCUCUCAGUCUCAGUCAACGCAAGGAAGACAAGAGACGAUGCAACCUAGGUUGUGUGUCAUCAAACCUCAACACUUUGUCGCACCAAACAGUUCAAGUACCGGAAGUUGUUCUGUGAUCAGUUCUAGUGAAACCAUGAGCACGUCUCUACCUAUCACAGAUGGAACUUCUCAGAGACUGAUAGAUCGUGAGAGUAAUUCACCACAAGUAGAGCACAACGAGACUGCAUUGCCAAGAGCAAAUAUGCCCGUCAACAAUCAUCAGAUGACAACAAGGCUCAAAGCAGGGAUCACAAAACCGAAUCCAAGAUAUGCACUGCUUACACAAAAGGUAUUGUGUCCGAGACCAAGGACAGUGGCUGAAGCAUUGAAGCAUCCGGGCUGGAACAACUCAAUGAAAGAAGAGAUAGGGAACUGUGAGUUGACAAAGACUUGGUCUCUGGUUCCAUAUACACCAGACAUGCAUGUCAUUGGAAAUGGUUGGGUUUUCAGAGAAAAACUAAACGCAGAUGGGACAGUGAAGUCGCUGAGAUCAAGACUGGUUGCUCAAGGUUGCAGUCAAGAAGAAGGGAUUGACUAUCUAGAGACCUACAGUCCAGUGGUUAGAACUGCAACCGUCAGGAUUGUUCUUCAUAUUGCUACGGUUCUUCAGUGGGAUAUUAAGCAAAUGGAUGUAGCCAAUGCGUUCCUUCAUGGUGAUCUUCAUGAGACAGUCUACAUGAGUCAGCCUAAGGGGUUUGUUGAUGAGAGUAAGCCGGAUCAUGUGUGUCUGCUACACAAGUCUCUCUACGGUUUGAAACAGUCUCCACGGGCAUGGUUUGAUAAAUUUAGCACCUAUCUGAUUGAGUUUGGUUUUGUGUGCAGCAUCAAAGAUCCUUCUUUAUUCAUCUACCGAAGAGGAAAAGAUAUUAUCAUGCUCUUAUUAUAUGUAGAUGACAUGUUAAUUACAGGGAACAGCUCAACGGUUCUAGCUAAGUUGCUUGAUGAGCUAAACAAGCAAUUCCGCAUGAAGGAUCUUGGGAGGAUGCACUACUUUCUUGGCAUUCAAGCAACCUUUCACUCCUCAGGAAUGUUCCUCUCACAAGAACGGUACGCAAAAGACCUUCUUGCUACUGCUGGAAUGUCGGAGUGUACCACUGUGGCUACACCUUUGCCACUGCAGUUGAGCAAAGUCCCACACCAAGACAAGAAGUUUGAAGAUCCAACUUAUUUCAGAAGUCUAGCCGGGAAGUUGCAGUAUUUGACUCUGACAAGGCCGGAUCUUCAGUAUUCUGUAAACUACGUUUGCCAAAAGAUGCAUGAGCCAACAGUCUCUGACUUUAUGCUGUUGAAGAGGAUCCUCCGUUAUGUUCAAGGCACGUUAGAUUAUGGCGUCAACAUCUUCAAAGACACCGACUUCACUUUGCGUGCGUAUAGUGACAGCGACUGGGCUGGAUGCCACAACACCAGACGAUCAACGGGAGGAUUCUGCACUUAUCUUGGUUUGAACAUUAUCUCUUGGUCCUCAAAGAAGCAGCCAACGGUUUCCAGAAGCUCGACAGAGGCUGAGUACCGGUCCCUAUCAGAAACGGCUUCAGAGCUUAGCUGGAUGUGCUCUAUUCUACGUGAGAUAGGAGUUCCGAUACAGACCACACCAGAGCUGUACUGUGACAACUUAUCAGCGGUUUAUCUCACAGCCAAUCCAGCAUAUCACAAACGUUCUAAGCAUUUUGAGUUGGACUAUCAUUACGUGCGUGAGAGGGUUGCUCUUGGAGCCCUUUUAGUGAAGCACAUCCCAGCUCAUCUUCAGCUUGCUGACAUCUUUACUAAGCCUUUGACGUUUAAAGCUUUUGAUUCACUGAGAUACAAACUUGGUGUAGACUCAUCUCCUACCCCAAGUUUGAGAGGGGCUGUUGAAGACAGAGCAUCAAACGUCAUCGUUUUGAAGACUGGUAAUGAGGAUAGAGAGAAGAUGGGCCACGGACAACAUAAGCCCAAGCAACAGACAUGUCUCCACGGCCCAGAGUUCAAAACACGCGCGUCACAACGGCUCUGCGAAAAUAAUGAAGACAAGAAGCAGAAAAGCAAAGUACAAGGACAGACCAUGACGAUAGCAAAGACUGAAGAGCAUAAUGGAUUGAAGCUGUCAAAUCGUUUUGCAGCCCUUGAUCUGUAGAAGCUUUCUGAUCUUGCCAUCUGUCUUUAUGACCUAGGGUUUUAGCUUCUUGUAUAAAUAAGUAACUCUUGUAACGAUCUUAUCAAAAAGAGAUGAAUGAAGUUCAGUAAAGCUCAAGCUUCCUUCUUUUCA
rnacentral:lncRNA from 1 species